GACGAACGCUGGCGGCGUGCUUAACACAUGCAAGUCGAACGAAAAGAGGGAAAGAGCUUGCUCUUUCCGGAAUUGAGUGGCAAACGGGUGAGUAACACGUAAACAACCUGCCUUCAGGAUGGGGACAACAGACGGAAACGACUGCUAAUACCGAAUAAGUUCCAAGGGCCGCAUGGCCCAUGGAAGAAAAGGUGGCCUCUACCUGUAAGCUAUCGCCUGAAGAGGGGGUUGCGUCUGAUUAGCUGGUUGGAGGGGUAACGGCCCACCAAGGCGACGAUCAGUAGCCGGUCUGAGAGGAUGAACGGCCACACUGGAACUGAGACACGGUCCAGACUCCUACGGGAGGCAGCAGUGGGGAAUCUUCCGCAAUGGGCGAAAGCCUGACGGAGCAACGCCGCGUGAGUGAUGACGGCCUUCGGGUUGUAAAACUCUGUGAUCCGGGACGAAAAGGCAGAGUGCGAAGAACAAACUGCAUUGACGGUACCGGAAAAGCAAGCCACGGCUAACUACGUG
rnacentral:rRNA from 1 species